AGUCCUCGUCGACGGACGCCGCGACGUUCGGUGGUGGAAACCUCGAGCUCCGUCGCGGGUGCGUCGUCGGUGCAAGGCUCCGACCCUUAAGCAUACCAUCGCGA
rnacentral:rRNA from 1 species